ensembl:snRNA U1 U1 spliceosomal RNA
AUCGUCACAUGGUAGGAGAAGCACCAUGACAGCAAAGGUGCUAUUCCCAGGGCAAGGCUCACCCAUUGCACUCCAUACGUACCGACCCCUGCAAUUUCCCCAAAGGUGGGAAAUUCUACUGCAUAAUUUGUGAUAGCGAGGGACUGCCUUGGUACAUCCCCCUG